CUGGCCUGGAAUUCAGAGAGAUC
rnacentral:piRNA from 1 species